AGAGUUUGAUCCUGGCUCAGGAUGAACGCUAGCUACAGGCUUAACACAUGCAAGUCGAGGGGCAGCAUGGUCUUAGCUUGCUAAGGCCGAUGGCGACCGGCGCACGGGUGAGUAACGCGUAUCCAACCUGCCUUACACUCUUGGACAGCCUUCUGAAAGGGAGAUUAAUACAAGAUGUUAUCAUGAGUAAGCAUUUUCGCAUGAUUAAAGGUUUACCGGUGUAAGAUGGGGAUGCGUUCCAUUAGAUAGUAGGCGGGGUAACGGCCCACCUAGUCUUCGAUGGAUAGGGGUUCUGAGAGGAAGGUCCCCCACAUUGGAACUGAGACACGGUCCAAACUCCUACGGGAGGCAGCAGUGAGGAAUAUUGGUCAAUGGACGAGAGUCUGAACCAGCCAAGUAGCGUGAAGGAUGACUGCCCUAUGGGUUGUAAACUUCUUUUAUACGGGAAUAAAGUGAGGCACGUGUGCCUUUUUGUAUGUACCGUAUGAAUAAGGAUCGGCUAACUCCGUGCCAGCAGCCGCGGUAAUACGGAGGAUCCGAGCGUUAUCCGGAUUUAUUGGGUUUAAAGGGAGCGUAGAUGGGUUGUUAAGUCAGUUGUGAAAGUUUGCGGCUCAACCGUAAAAUUGCAAUUGAUACUGGCAGUCUUGAGUACAGUUGAGGUAGGCGGAAUUCGUGGUGUAGCGGUGAAAUGCUUAGAUAUCACGAAGAACUCCGAUUGCGAAGGCAGCUUACUAACCUGUAACUGACAUUGAUGCUCGAAAGUGUGGGUAUCAAACAGGAUUAGAUACCCUGGUAGUCCACACGGUAAACGAUGAAUACUCGCUGUAGGCGAUAUACGGUCUGCGGCCAAGCGAAAGCAUUAAGUAUUCCACCUGGGGAGUACGCCGGCAACGGUGAAACUCAAAGGAAU
rnacentral:rRNA from 1 species